GUGUCAGCAGCCGCGGUAAGACAGAGGUGGCAAGCGUUGUUCGGAAUUACUGGGCAUAAAGGGCGCGUAGGUGGUCAGGUAUGUCAAGGGUGAAAGCCCUCGGCCUAACCGGGGAAUUGCCUCUGAAACCACCUGACUAGAGUGCAGGAGAGGAGAGUGGAACUCGAGGUGGAGCGGUGAAAUGCGUAGAUAUCUCGGGGAACGCCGGUGGCGAAAGCGGCUCUCUGGACUGUAACUGACACUGAGGCGCGAAAGCCAGGGGAGCAAACGGGAUUAGAUACCCCGGUAGUCCUGGCCGUAAACGAUGAGAACUAGGUAGAGGGGGCUCCAAGGCCUCCCCUGCUGUAGCUAAUGUGCUAAGUUCUCCGCCUGGGGAGUACGGUCGCAAGGCUGAAACUUAAAGGAAUUGACGGGG
rnacentral:rRNA from 1 species